AACGAACGCUGGCGGCAUGCCUAACACAUGCAAGUCGAACGAAGCCUUCGGGUCUAUUGGCGUUCGAGUUCAUAGCGCGUGGGAACCUUCCCUUGUGGUCGGAAUAACUCCCCGAAAGGGGUUCUAAUGCCGGAUAAGGGCUUCUGACCAAAGAUUUAUCGCAUUUGGAUGGUCCCGCGUGGGAUUAGCCAUUUGGUAGGCUAAAAGCCUACUAAGGCGACGAUCCAUAGCUGGUCUGAGAGGAUGCUCAGCCACACUGGGAGUGAGACACGGCCCAGAAUCCUACGGGAGGGAGCAGUGGGGAAUAUUGGACAAUGGGCGAAAGUCUGAUACAGCAAUGGAGCGUGAAUGAUGAAGGUCUUAGGGUUGUAAAGCUCUUUUAACCGGGAUGAUAAUGACAGUACCGGGAGAAUAAGCUCAGGCUAACCCCGUG
rnacentral:rRNA from 1 species